rnacentral:rRNA from 1 species
GGUGGAGUGAUUUGUCUGGUUAAUUCCGAUAACGAACGAGACUCCAGCCUACUAAAUAGAUACCGAAUUUUUAGUUCGGUAUACUUCUUAGAGGGACAAGUGGUAUUUAGCCACAUGAGAUUGAGCAAUAACAGGUCUGUGAUGCCCUUAGAUGUCCGGGGCUGCACGCGCGCUACACUGAAGGAGUCAACAUGUGUCUAUCCUGGUCCGAAAGGACUGGGUAACCAUGUGAAACUCCUUCGUGAUUGGGACAGGGAAUUGUAAUUAUUUCCCUUGAACGAGGAAUUCCUAGUAAGUGCGGGUCAUAAUCUCGCGUUGAAUACGUCCCUGCCCUUUGUAC